rnacentral:rRNA from 1 species
AGCGAACGCUGGCGGCAGGCCUAACACAUGCAAGUCGAACGAACCUUCCGGGGUUAGUGGCGGACGGGUGAGUCACGCGUGGGACCGUGCCUUUAGGCUCGGAAUAACUCUGGGAAACUUGUGCUAAUACCGAAUGUGUCCUGCGGAGGAAAGAUUAAUCGGCGUUAGAACGGCCGGCGUCCGCUUAGCAAGUUGGCUGAGGUAAGGGCUCACCAAGGCGACGAUCAUUAGCGGGUCUGAGAGGAAGAUCAGCCACAUUGGGACUGGGACACGGCCCAAACUCCUACGCGAGGCAGCAGAGGGGGAUCCAGCGAAAUGGGCGAAAGGCUGACGGAGCCAUGCCGCGAGAAUGAUGAAGGUCUUAGGAAAGAGAAGUUCUUUCACCGGGGGCGAUAAUGACAGUACCCGAAGAAGAAGCCCCGGCUAACUUCGUG